rnacentral:tRNA from 1 species
ACCUUGGUAGUUCAGUAGUAGAAUUCUCACCUUCCAUGCAGGAUACCUGCGUUCCAUUCCCAGCCAAUGUA